GGGUUGUAGCUCAGAUGGUAGAGCGCCCGCUUCGCAUGCGGGAGCUCACUCACUGCGUCAUUGUUGGUUUUAACCCCAGUACUGACAAUU